AACGAACGCUGGCGGCAUGCCUAACACAUGCAAGUCGAACGAGAUCUUCGGGUCUAGUGGCGCACGGGUGCGUAACGCGUGGGAAUCUGCCCUUUGGUUCGGAAUAACAGUUGGAAACGACUGCUAAUACCGGAUGAUGACGAAAGUCCAAAGAUUUAUCGCCAGAGGAUGAGCCCGCGUAGGAUUAGCUAGUUGGUGUGGUAAAGGUGCACCAAGGCGACGAUCCUUAGCUGGUCUGAGAGGAUGAUCAGCCACACUGGGACUGAGACACGGCCCAGACUCCUACGGGAGGCAGCAGUGGGGAAUAUUGGACAAUGGGCGAAAGCCUGAUCCAGCAAUGCCGCGUGAGUGAUGAAGGCCUUAGGGUUGUAAAGAUCUUUCAGGUGGGAAGAUAAUGACUGUACCACCAGAAGAAGCCCCGGCUAACUCCGUGCCAGCCGCCGCAGUAA
rnacentral:rRNA from 1 species